rnacentral:rRNA from 1 species
GAUGAACGCUGGCGGCGUGCUUAACACAUGCAAGUCGAACGAAGCACUUUAACCUGAUUCUUCGGAUGAAGGUUUUUGUGACUGAGUGGCGGACGGGUGAGUAACGCGUGGGUAACCUGCCUCAUACAGGGGGAUAACAGUUAGAAAUGACUGCUAAUACCGCAUAAGACCACAGAGCCGCAUGGCUCGGUGGGAAAAACUCCGGUGGUAUGAGAUGGACCCGCGUCUGAUUAGGUAGUUGGUGGGGUAACGGCCUACCAAGCCAACGAUCAGUAGCCGACCUGAGAGGGUGGCCGGCCACAUUGGGACUGAGACACGGCCCAAACUCCUACGGGAGGCAGCAGUGGGGAAUAUUGCACAAUGGGGGAAACCCUGAUGCAGCGACGCCGCGUGAGCGAAGAAGUAUUUCGGUAUGUAAAGCUCUAUCAGCAGGGAAGAAAAUGACGGUACCUGACUAAGAAGCACCGGCUAAAUACGUG